GGGCCCGCACAAGCGGUGGAGCAUGUGGUUUAAUUCGAUGAUACGCGAGGAACCUUACCAGGGCUUAAAUGUAAGUUGCAUGGAUCAGAGAUGAUCCUUUCUUCGGACCACUUACAAGGUGCUGCAUGGUUGUCGUCAGCUCGUGCCGUGAGGUGUCAGGUUAAGUCCUAUAACGAGCGCAACCCCUAUCGUUAGUUGCCAGCAAGUAAAGUUGGGUACUCUAGCGAGACUGCCGGUGCAAACCGAGAGGAAGGUGGGGAUGACGUCAAAUCAUCACGGCCCUUACGUCCUGGGCUACACACGUGCUACAAUGGCCGGUACAGAGAGCAGCCACCACGCGAGUGGGAGCGAAUCUUCAAAACCGGUCUCAGUUCGGAUCGCAGUCUGCAACUCGACUGCGUGAAGCUGGAAUCGCUAGUAAUCGCAUAUC
rnacentral:rRNA from 1 species